rnacentral:lncRNA from 1 species
AAGUUUACAAAAGCUAUGGAUCAAAGUUCUAAGAGCUUGGAUGCUUAUGUUGCUUAUUCCCGAGGAGGAGGAUGUGGAUGCACCCCCAUGUGUACGUAAGGACACACGAGCUAAAGGCUUUACCUGACCCAGUAAAAGUGUCAAGCGCUCCAUCUCCAGUCGUGGCUGUGGUUUCACUGCUGUUCAAGGGCUCUGUUUUGACUGCAAGAAGAGACACUACGUAGAAGAAUAAGUACAUGGUAGAACAAAAUGGAAAAGUAGAAAUAAAACAUUUAUUCUGUCACAGAAAAUAAGCUGCAUUCAUACUAAGUGAGCAUCAACAAGCACCUCUUGAUCUCUAAGACAGCAAACCAAAAUCAUUACAUGCAAUAAAAUGGAAGCAAAAUCCUUUUAUAGAAGACAAGCACCGUAUUUCUCAACCAAAUGCAAGCUUACACACCAAAUGUUUUGAUUUCAAAAGAAACAAUAUUUUAAUGUCCUAGGUUGAAGAGUUUUGUGGGAUUAUUAUUCUGUAUCUUCAAAGUAAGUGAGUCAGAGCUCGUUUUGCUAAAAGUGGCAUAAAAUUACUUUCUAUACCACUUUGUCGAGAACCGUUAAGAAAUCCUUGUACUGUCAGGUCCCCCUCCCCACUAGUUAGCUACUUGCAAUUUGGAUGUUUCUGAUAGAGUCAAAUGGUAAAAAUAAAUAAACAUACAUGAUUGGCUUUUCCAUUUUUUUAGCUUUAAAAAUAAUUCUUAUCUAUAGACUAAAUCAAGGUCAUACAUAAUUAUUGUCAGGUACCAGUAAUGGCUACUAAAUCACAGAUUUCCUGUCUUCACAUCCC